UGCAGUCGAGCGGAACAGGAGAGUAGCUUGCUACUUUCGCUGUCGAGCGGCGGACGGGUGAGUAAUGCCUAGAUAUCUGCCUAGUCGUGGGGGAUAACAGUUGGAAACGACUGCUAAUACCGCAUACGCCCUACGGGGGAAAGGAGGGGACCUUCGGGCCUUUCGCGAUUAGAUGAGUCUAGGUGGGAUUAGCUAGUAGGUGAGGUAAUGGCUCACCUAGGCGACGAUCCCUAGCUGUUCUGAGAGGAUGAUCAGCCACACUGGGACUGAGACACGGCCCAGACUCCUACGGGAGGCAGCAGUGGGGAAUAUUGCACAAUGGGCGAAAGCCUGAUGCAGCCAUGCCGCGUGUGUGAAGAAGGCCUUCGGGUUGUAAAGCACUUUCAGCGAGGAGGAAAGGUUGUGUGUUAAUAGCGAUAGCUGUGACGUUACUCGCAGAAGAAGCACCGGCUAACUUCGUGCCAGCAGCCGCGGUAAUACGAGGGGUGCAAGCGUUAAUCGGAAUUACUGGG
rnacentral:rRNA from 2 species